UCACUGGUGACCUAGUGGUUAAAGAUUUGGCAUUGUCACUGCUGUGGCUCAGGUUCCAUCCCUGGCCUGGGAA
rnacentral:tRNA from 1 species